rnacentral:rRNA from 1 species
GUUUACAACUCCCAAACCCCUGUGAACAUACCAACUGUUGCCUCGGCGGAUCAGCCCGCUCCCGGUAAAACGGGACGGCCCGCCAGAGGACCCCUAAACUCUGUUUCUAUAUGUAACUUCUGAGUAAAACCAUAAAUAAAUCAAAACUUUCAACAACGGAUCUCUUGGUUCUGGCAUCGAUGAAGAACGCAGCAAAAUGCGAUAAGUAAUGUGAAUUGCAGAAUUCAGUGAAUCAUCGAAUCUUUGAACGCACAUUGCGCCCGCCAGUAUUCUGGCGGGCAUGCCUGUUCGAGCGUCAUUUCAACCCUCAAGCCCAGCUUGGUGUUGGGACUCGCGAGUCAAAUCGCGUUCCCCAAAUUGAUUGGCGGUCACGUCGAGCUUCCAUAGCGUAGUAGUAAAACCCUCGUUACUGGUAAUCGUCGCGGCCACGCCGUUAAACCCCAACUUCUGAAUGUUGACCUCGGAUCAGGUAGGAAUAC